rnacentral:sRNA from 1 species
UAAAGCUAUGGUUUUCCGUGCAUAUUGA